CCAAACGAAAAGAUUUAAGAGAAUUUAAAUGUUAGCUAUUGGGUUACAAAUGUUCUAAAACCGGAGUUAAUGCAUAAAAUCAAUAUGGCUAUUAACUCAAGAUGGCUAAUUUUUAUGAUUGAGUGAGAACAAAGUAAUAAAAGAGGGUUAAUUAGGCAUUUUGGCGUCAGUUGAAAAGAAAAGUGCAUGACAUUAUAUCUGAGAGAUGUGUAUUUAAAUUUGAAUUGCAAAGUAAUAAUAAGGAAGAGAAAAUUCCAGUGGGUGUUUUGUGUGUCGACAUAAGUCGUUUUGCUGUUUUAAUCGAGACUGUGAGAAAUAAAUAAAGAUACCAAAUAAGAUAAAAUAAAGCCUCCUGGACGAGAGGAGGCGAAAUUUUUGUUGGUGCAAGUGGCUGGGUUAAGGCUAAAGUGAAUUCCCCCCGAUUCAGAAACACACAUUGAACGGUGAUUACCGCAAACGCCACCGUUUCAUCUGGUGGUUAUAAAGGUAGGCCGCUUUUUAGUUUAUUGUGCCCAAAAGAGGGCGA